UUUUAUGUGAUGAUUUGAAGUGAUUAAGGUGUAUUUUGCAAAACUGAGUCUUGAGAUAUGAGUUUUUGAAAAACCAGUUUGAUGUAAGAGUUUGGGAAAAAUCUGAGGUUAUGUUUUGAAUGACGAUUUGAUGAUGAGCAUGAAUAUAUGAAAGGAUUAACGUGAUGUUGAUGAAUUAGUGUUUAAAAUGAGUUUUGAGCUGAUCAUGAUGUAGAGUGUGAGUAUUUUUGAUGUUUGAGAGUGUUUGAUGAUUUCUGGGAAUGAAAAAGUUGAUGAGUUUUUCGAGUUGCUCUUGAUUGCGUCGUUCUGUCUUGAGCCUUGCUCUACUCAGCCGAGAGUUCAUUUCCCCGCUGGCAUGCCAGAGAAAUCGUUUCCCCGCGGGCAUGCCAGAG
rnacentral:lncRNA from 1 species